UGCGAUUUAGUGUAAUUGGUUAACAUCAUUGACUCAUGAUCAGUGGAUUAAGGUUCAAGUCCUUUUGUCGCAC
rnacentral:tRNA from 1 species